rnacentral:rRNA from 1 species
UCGAGAAUUUUUCUCAAUGGGGGAAACCCUGAAGGAGCGACGCCGCGUGGAGGAUGAAGGUCUUCGGGUUGUAAACUCCUGUCAUUUGGGAACAAGGUGCACGUGUUUACUGCACGUGUAUUGAUAGUACCAGAAGAGGAAGAGACGGCUAACUCUGUGCCAGCAGCCGCGGUAAUACAGAGGUCUCAAGCGUUGUUCGGAUUCAUUGGGCGUAAAGGGUGCGUAGGUGGCGCCAUAAGUCAGGUGUGAAAUUUCGGAGCUUAACUCCGAAACUGCAUUUGAUACUGUGGUGCUCGAGGACUGGAGAGGAGACUGGAAUUUACGGUGUAGCAGUGAAAUGCGUAGAGAUCGUAAGGAAGACCAGUGGCGAAGGCGGGUCUCUGGACAGUUCCUGACACUGAGGCACGAAGGCCAGGGGAGCAAACGGGAUUAGAUACCCCCGUAGUCC